rnacentral:rRNA from 1 species
UACGUAGGGGGCUAGCGUUGUCCGGAAUCAUUGGGCGUAAAGCGCGCGUAGGCGGCCCGGUAAGUCCGCUGUGAAAGUCAAAGGCUCAACCUUUGAAUGUCAGCGGAUACUGCCGGGCUAGAGUCCGGAAGAGGCGAGUGGAACUCCUGGUGUAGCGGUGGAAUGCGUAGAGAUCGGGAAGAACACCAGUGGCGAAGGCGGUCUGCUGGGCCGUUGCUGACGCUGAUGCGCGACAGCGUGGGGAGCAAACAGG